CCUGGUUGAUCUUGCCAGUAGUCAUAUGCUUGUCUCAAAGAUUAAGCCAUGCAAGUGAAAGUAUAUGCAUAUUUUAUAUGUAGAAACUGCGAACGGCUCAUUAAAACAGUUAUAAUCUACUUGACAUUUUCUAUAUAAGGAUAACUACGGAAAAGCUGUAGCUAAUACUUGCUUUAGCACUCUUGAUUUAUUUCUUGAGUGUGUACUUGUUAAGCCUUAUAAGAAAAGAGUUAUUAACUUAAGGAAUUAUAACAAAGAAGUAACACGUAAUGGAUCAUUCCAUUUUUAGUGUGUAUCAAUCGAGUUUCUGACCUAUCAGCUUUUGAUGUUAGGGUAUUGGCCUAACAUGGCUAUGACGGGUAACGGGGAAUUAGAGUUCGAUUCCGGAGAGGGAGCCUGAGAAAUAGCUACCACAUCUAAGGAAGGCAGCAGGCGCGUAAAUUACCCAAUUCUAAAGAAGAGAGGUAGUGACAAGAAAUAACAAUACAAGGCCAAUCUGGCUUUGUAAUUGGAAUGAUGGGAAUUUAAAACCUUCCCAAAAUUCAAUUGGAGGGCAAGUCUGGUGCCAGCAGCCGCGGUAAUUCCAGCUCCAAUAGCGUAUAUUAAAAUUGUUGCAGUUAAAACGCUCGUAGUUGAAUUUCAAAGAAUCGAUAUUUUAAGUAACGCUUCUAGCUAUAAUCCACAUAACUGAUGCCUCCGCGUAUCGACUUUGUGCGCAUUUUAGCUAUUAUGUGUUCUUUUAAUUAAAAUGAUUCUUUUUAAGAUUCAUCUAUUAAAAAUUUGCCUCGGCAUAAUUUUUUUUGAUGAUCUUGUUACUUUGAGUAAAUUAGAGUGUUCAAAGCAAACAGAUAUAGCAUUUGUGCGUUUGAAUACUACAGCAUGGAAUAACAAAAUUGAACAAGUCAGAAUUUUUUUGUUCUUUUUUCUUAUUUUGGCUUAGUUACGAUUAAUAGGAGUAGCUUGGGGGCAUUUGUAUUCAGAUGUCAGAGGUGAAAUUCUUAGAUUUUCUGGAGACAAACAACUGCGAAAGCAUUUGCCUAAAAUACUUCCAUUAAUCAAGAACGAAAGUUAAGGGAGUGAAGACGAUCAGAUACCGUCGUAAUCUUAACCAUAAACUAUGCCGACUAGGCUUUGGAUGAAAGAUUUUAAAAUAAGAGUUUUUCUUUUCUCUCCGGAGAUUAGAACUCUUAGAUUGCUUCCUUCAGUGCCUUAUGAGAAAUCAAAGUCUUUGGGUUCUGGGGCGAGUAUUCGCGCAAGCGAGAAAGUUAAAAGAAUUGACGGAAGGGCACCACCAGGCGUGGAGCUUGCGGCUUAAUUUGACUCAACACGGGAAAACUCACUAGUUUAAGACAAGAGUAGGAUUGACAGAUUAAUAGCUCUUUCUUGAUUUCUUGGAUGGUGAUGCAUGGCCGUUUUUAGUUCGUGAAUAUGAUUUGUCUGGUUAAUUCCGAUAACGAACGA
rnacentral:rRNA from 1 species